rnacentral:rRNA from 1 species
AUAUCCCGGUGUGCUAGUAGUCGUGGUUGAGACUGAGGUGCCUACAACGUGCUUUCGAGUCUAUGGGACUCUCGUUUGGUUGUUUGCUUUGACAGCUUGCUGUGUUAGUGGACGUAUCAGGCGAUUGAGAUCUGUGGUAACUUGUUGACGUUCGGGACUUUGACGAAAUGGAGCGAUCCGUCCCGUCUUGAAACACGGACC